rnacentral:rRNA from 1 species
CCUACGGGAGGCAGCAGUGAGGAAUAUUGGUCAAUGGCCGGAAGGCUGACCCAGCAACGCCGCGUGAAGGAAGAAGGCUUUCGGGGUGUAAACUUCUUUUAAGAGGGAAGAGCAGAAGACGGUACCUCUUGAUUAAGCCACGGCUAACUCCGUGCCAGCAGCCGCGGUAAUACGUAGGUGGCAAGCGUUUUCCGGAUUUACUGGGUGUAAAGGGCGUGCAGGCGGGAAGACAAGUCAGAUGUGAAAUCCCGCGGCUCAACCGCGAAACUGCAUUUGAAACUGUUUUUCUUGAGUAUCGGAGAGGUCAGCGGAAUGCCUUGUGUAGCGGUGAAAUGCGUAGAUAUAAGGAAGAACACCAGUGGCGAAGGCGGAUGACUAGACGGCAACUGACGGUGAGGCGCGAAAGCGUGGGGAGCAAACAGGAUUAGAUACCCCAGUAGUC